ACAGGAACUAUAAUGCGGAAUAAAAGCAGGGCAUGAAGACCUGAACUGGGGAAUUGCAGCGUUGUUUUGAUUUUCAAGACGGGCAUGAUUAGAAUUACUGGCUUUGUUUAUUAUAUAUUUUAUAAUACUUGUGCAGAUGCCUCGAUGUGCGAUGGAUAAAAGCGCCCGGCUUUGGCUGGUUAAUACAAUGGGUUUUUGAUUUUGCAUAUUUAUUCAUAUGGGAGUUCUUUGCGGAUUCUAUUAAUUCAACAAGUGUUUUGAAUUAAAGCUCUGCGGGCUUCAGUACUGUAAAAUAAUCAAUGGAUUGCAUAAGUUCCAUGCAGAAUAAGAGAAGACGUAGUGGAGAGUUUGAACAGUGGCACAAUCAGGCGAAAAGGCUGUGUAGUGGACUGGGCGGCCGUGGGCAUGUUGAAUGUGGUGUGGUGGUGGACACUCCAAUGGACACGUGGGAUGCCCCAAAUCACAGCCCUCAAAAUGGACACAGCACCAGCGUCCCUGGCAUGCAGGUAUUACCCGCCCCGGGACGUGGUGCAGGACAGCAUUGCCCCAGGUGUAUGGCGGGUGAACCUGGCCAUAUAAACCACAUCAUGAGGUAUUGAUCAGCAUCGCCGAUGACUCCUGGAGAAAAUGAAUCGACUGAAUAAAUGGGGAAGGGAAAAGCGCUGCAGAGAAGCAGUCUGCAGUUUAUCCGGACCGUGUGGGUUUUUCCCACAUGCUUUGUGCCUUUCAUGCAUUUUCCAAAUCACCUCACCUAGUACUGUUUUAUCUACAGUAGUACCUAUUAUUGUUUUGUAGCAAUGAGGUUUACAAUACCAAGAACAUGCACUCCAGUGACAGAAAAUGUAAUGUAAGAUAGUUUAGAUCACACUGCAGUGAAGUGUGUCGACAUCUUUGCACUGUACAUUCUCCAAUGUUGCUUAGUCUUGAUUUUUAAGAAGGAAUUACUGCUGUAGUCAGUGAAACUAAUGCAUAAAUAUUUUUUAGACUAUUUUUCUAAAAAUUUAAAUAAUGAAAGAAGACUCCUGAUUAAAUACGUGUUAAUUCAAGUGUAGAUUUUUUUUUCUUUAUUUUCAUGGUUCAACAUUUCAGUUUAAUUUUAUUUCGUUUUUAAAUGUAAAAAAAAAAAAAAUGUAUGUCAGCUUCAUUUGAAAUGAAGGAUAUUUUUGUAGAUGUAUUGUCUCCAUUUUGUUUUAUCUCAAUGGAUUUGUCUUUUUUUUUUUUUUUUUCCUUUAUUGUAGAAAAUAUUUCAGUGUAUUCAAUGGUUUAAUCUUUUUUUCUCUUUUUUACCCCAAUCUAGAAUAUUUUUCAUUAAAGUCUAAU